ACGCUGUUUAAUUUAAUCCUCACAACGACCCAGAACAUAGUAUUAUUCUCCCUGUUUUCUAGAUAGAAAAAAAUGUAAAAGCCCCCAAAUGCAUAAGUAGCUCAAACAAGGUCAUGUAAGAGGUAAAACAGAAAAUCUGCAUUUGAACCCAGGUCUCUUGAUUCCAAGUUCCAUAUUCUACGUAAGAAUUGUUAGGUAUGAUUUAACAAUCAUGUACAGGCUUUUUUUCAUUUCUCCUUUAACAACACAAUGGCUGUCAAAGAGCUCAUAAGCCACUGGAACUGCUUCUGCAAUAAGUAAAGUCAAUGAAGAAAGCAAGAGGACUGCAAAGGUUUCCCUGCUGAUUCUGCCAACAGAAAUGUUUUUAUUGUGCUGCUUUGGACUGUCAUUCAUCAAGCUUAGCAACCAGAGAGAAAAGAAGGCUCUUUACCGUCAGCUAAGCCUGAAAAAUACUUGGAAAGGACUUUGCUUCCCUGGGCUUGGGUCACGGACAAGGUGAAGAGUAGGAUGGGGACGCAUGCCAGGUGGACUAAAAGAACAACUACUACAAGCUGCUAUCAGCCAAGGAAAGGCACAGAAAUACAGAGUUCCACCCUCACGCAACCCAGAGGGGCAGCUCUAUGAAGAGGAGUUUUGGACAAUUAAAGGCAUUUAAUUAGCCACUGGGUGACAUGUAUAGAAGGAUUCAUGUUUUGAAUUGGAAGUUUUUUAAUUUUUAGGCAAUACCAAGAUGUUUACUUCCACAAACGUCUCUUAUUUUUUUUGCAUAAUUAAUUACAAAGAAUUGGAGUUGCAAGUGUAAAAAAAUGAAAUAAUCACCACUUUAAGAACUGUGCUGCAUCCCAAGGGACCUAAGGAUUGCUACGAAAGUAUUCAAAUUGGCCCAAUUAAGCUACAUAAUGAAUUUAGACAGUGCUCUCGAAGGCCACUUUGUGUUCUGUUUUUCUGUGAUUCCAGAAAACCAAUCAUGGCAAAGGUGGGGGCAUUUGCUUCUGUGGUGCUGAGCAAAACUCGAACUAUUUGAAAAUCACACUGAGUCUCUGAACAAGAGACCAACAAUGGUGGGAGCUGUCAUCAAGGAAUAAAAAUGUUAAUUGAAGAUCU